UAACAAUGAUGCUGACAAUAUCUGAGUAGUUUCUUGUAUCUUUCCCAGGCUUGACGAAGAGUCUCGCCAUCUUUUUGUUGAAAUCCCUGAAUUUGGCUUCUAAGUGA
rnacentral:snoRNA from 1 species